rnacentral:lncRNA from 1 species
AGUCACUGGUUAGGUGCCAGUCAGUGUGUGUUCCUCAGUGAACCUUUUUCACAUUACCUUGGGUUGUUGGGUAUGUGCUGCUAUUUCACUGAACCUCUUUUAUGGCUACUUGGGUCACUUGGUAUGUGCCACUCAUCAGUUAGCCUCUUUGACGCCAACUUGGGUCACUGGUUAGGUGCCAGUCAGUGUGUGUUCCUCAGUGAACCUUUUUCACAUUACCUUGGGUUGUUGGGUAUGUGCUGCUAUUUCACUGAACCUCUUUUAUGGCUACUUGGGUCACUUGGUAUGUGCCACUCAUCAGUUAGCCUCUUUGACGCCAACUUGGGUCACUGGUUAGGUGCCAGUCAGUGUGUGUUCCUCAGUGAACUUCUUUCACAUUACCUUGGGUUGUUGGGUAUGUGCUGCUAUUUCACUGAACCUCUUUUAUGGCUACUUGGGUCACUUGGUAUGUGCCACUCAUCAGUUAGCCUCUUUGACGCCAACUUGGGUCACUGGUUAGGUGCCAGUCAGUGUGUGUUCCUCAAUGAACCUCUUUCACGGCAACUUAGGUCACUUCCAUUACUCUUCGUUACAGUUGGGCGAGACUUCAAAAACACGACGUUGCUGAUGAAGUAUUUUUGCAGUGUCGGCCCUCUCUUGCUAGUGGUGGCAGCACGUGCCUGAUUUCACAUACUCGUUUACGGUAACACUUGGUCGAUAAGAGAUCGACAAGACGGCGACGCCAAUGAUUGGCCGACUAUUCAGCACAGUGUGUCGGUGAGACCAUUUUAGCAUACUAUGCA